AUUGAACGCUGGCGGAAUGCUUCACACAUGCAAGUCGAACGGCAGCACGGACUUCGGUCUGGUGGCGAGUGGCGAACGGGUGAGUAAUGUAUCGGAACGUGCCCAGUCGUGGGGGAUAACGUAGUGAAAAUUACGCUAAUACCGCAUACGAUCUAUGGAUGAAAGCGGGGGAUCGCAAGACCUCGCGCGAUUGGAGCGGCCGAUAGCAGAUUAGGUAGUUGGUGGGGUAAAGGCCCACCAAGCCAACGAUCUGGAGCUGGUCUGAGAGGACGACCAGCCACACUGGAACUGAGACACGGUCCAGACUCCUACGGGAGGCAGCAGUGGGGAAUUUUGGACAAUGGACGCAAGUCUGAUCCAGCCAUUCCGCGUGCAGGAUGAAGGCCCUCGGGUUGUAAACUGCUUUUGUACGGAACGAAAAGGUCUCUCUUAAUACGGGGGGCUCAUGACGGUACCGUAAGAAUAAGCACCGGCUAACUACGUGCCAGCCGCCGCGGUAA
rnacentral:rRNA from 1 species